rnacentral:rRNA from 1 species
AAUGAACGCUGGCGGCGCGCCUAACACAUGCAAGUCGAGCGAGAAAGUUCCUUCGGGGAUGAGUACAGCGGCAGACGGUUGAGUAACACGUGAGAAACUACCCUUUAGUGAAGAAUACCAUCGAGAAAUCGGUGUUAAUGCUGCAUACGUCCCUUCGGGGGAGAAAGAUGGCCUCUUUGCUAUCGCUAAAGG